UACGUAGGGUGCGAGCGUUGUCCGGAAUUAUUGGGCGUAAAGAGCUCGUAGGCGGUGUGUCACGUCGGCCGUGAAAACCUGCAGCUUAACUGUGGGCGUGCGGUCGAUACGGGCAUCACUGGAGUUCGGCAGGGGAGACUGGAAUUCCUGGUGUAGCGGUGAAAUGCGCAGAUAUCAGGAGGAACACCGGUGGCGAAGGCGGGUCUCUGGACAGUUCCUGACGCUGAGGCACGAAGGCCAGGGGAGCAAACGGG
rnacentral:rRNA from 1 species